rnacentral:rRNA from 1 species
UGCCCUGAUGUGGCGGAUAACCAUGGGAAACGAUGGCUAAUACCGCAUGAUGCGUACGGGCCAAAGAGGGGGACCUUCGGGCCUCUCGCGUCAGGAUAUGCCUAGGUGGGAUUAGCUAGUUGGUGAGGUAAGGGCUCACCAAGGCGACGAUCCCUAGCUGGUCUGAGAGGAUGAUCAGCCACACUGGAACUGAGACACGGUCCAGACUCCUACGGGAGGCAGCAGUGGGGAAUAUUGCACAAUGGGCGCAAGCCUGAUGCAGCCAUGCCGCGUGUGUGAAGAAGGCCUUCGGGUUGUAAAGCACUUUCAGUCGUGAGGAAGGUGGUGUAGUUAAUAGCUGCAUUAUUUGACGUUAGCGACAGAAGAAGCACCGGCUAACUCCGUGCCAGCAGCCGCGGUAAUACGGAGGGUGCGAGCGUUAAUCGGAAUUACUGGGCGUAAAGCGCAUGCAGGUGGUUUGUUAAGUCAGAUGUGAAAGCCCGGGGCUCAACCUCGGAAUAGCAUUUGAAACUGGCAGACUAGAGUACUGUAGAGGGGGGUAGAAUUUCAGGUGUAGCGGUGAAAUGCGUAGAGAUCUGAAGGAAUACCGGUGGCGAAGGC